rnacentral:lncRNA from 1 species
UGGGUUUCAUUAAUAAAAGCAGACAAGGAGCAAAUAAGCCUCGAUACAAUAAAAGUAAAGCUGCCAGAGUGAAUGAACAGAGAAACUGAAACGUAAAAACCACAAAGCAACAGCACACAGGAGCUAGAAGCCUGAAAAAGAAAGCCAGUCUCAGCGAGAUUAAAAUAACAACACCCAGGCCAAGCAUUCCAGUACUGUCCAGGUUCAGCCCCCGCUCGCUCUACAAACUGAAGAAGAAAAACAAGAAGAAUCGAGCAAGAACACUGUCGUCUGAUCUAGUCGAAGUCAGCACCACUUGCAUUAGCCACCUCCGCUACUUCUUCAAUCCAGUAGCAGUCCCUCGUAAAAUCCCUAAAAAUUAUUAUGUUCA